rnacentral:rRNA from 1 species
UACGUAGGGUGCAAGCGUUGUCCGGAAUUAUUGGGCGUAAAGAGCUCGUAGGCGGUUUGUCGCGUCUGCUGUGAAAACCCGAGGCUCAACCUCGGGCCUGCAGUGGGUACGGGCAGACUAGAGUGCGGUAGGGGGAGAUUGGAAUUCCUGGUGUAGCGGUGGAAUGCGCAGAUAUCAGGAGGAACACCGGUGGCGAAGGCGGUUCUCUGGGCCUGUACUGACGCUGAGGAGCGAAAGCGUGGGGAGCGAACAGG